UGGACAUCAAGUUGUUAUUAAGUUCUGUUUUUCCUGAGAAUUUCAUUUUUUUUUGCACUUUAAGUUGCUAUUAAGUUUCUCAAGCUCUUUGUUUUCCCUGAGCAUUUCAUUGUUUUUGCACUUUAAAUUGUUAUUAAUUUCCUCGAGCUCUGUGUUUUCCCUGAGCAUUUUCUUGUUUUUGUAUUUUAAGUUGUUAUUAAUUUCCUCGAGCUCUGUGUUUUCCUUGAGCAUUUUCUUCUUUUUGUAUUUUAAGUUGUUAUUAAUUUCCUCGAGCUCUGUGUUUUCCUUGAGCAUUUUCUUGUUUUUGUAUUUUAAGUUGUUAUGAAGUUCCUCAAGCUCUGUGCUCUUUUUUAGGAUUUCACUGUAUUUGUAGUUUAAGUUCUUAUUCUGUCCCUCGAGCUCUGUGUUCUUUCUCAGGAUUUCAUCAAUUUUGUAUUUUAAGAUGUUACAAAGUUCCACAAGCUCUGAGUUCUUGCUUAGCAUUUCAUUGCAAAUGUGCUGCGCGCCUGAGUGUUGUUUUAUCAGUUUUUCCCUUUCUCCUUCUAGUUCCAUGAUUUUCUCCUUCAUUUCAUUAGAACAUGCGUGUAGCUGUAGAUUUUUCCUUUCUAAGUCUUGGAGAAUAACUUGUGUCUUUUUCUGCAUUUUUUCCUGUUGCUGUUUCUCUUGAAGAAACUCUUUGUUUUUCUCCAGGGCUUCAUCAAGUUUUAGGUGAAGCUGCAGAUUCUUGUUCUCAGUGUCUUUGAGAUUCCCAUAGAGCUCCUGAUUAAUAGCUUCUGUUUGUUGAAGCUGGUAGGACAUUUUUCUUAACUGGUCGCAGUUCUGCUUGUUUGUUGUCAUCAGGCUUGCAAUAUGCUGCGGAUCUUCAAUAAAGAUUAUUUCCCAGCCCUUAUUUACACUGGGCAGGUUUUGUGUAUUUUUAUUUUCUUCGUCUUGCUGGUUUAUGAGACUUUCAUCGUGAAACAUUUCUGCAUUUCUGUGCAGUGCUUCGUUAAGCUUUACUUGCAAGACUUUGUUUUGUUUCUUCAUGGUCUGAAGUUUACAUUCCAUUUUUUUCUCCUUUCUUUCCUGUUGUUUCUUCUCUUGAAGCAACUCUUUGUUUUUUUCCUGGGCUUCAUCAAGUUUUCCUUCCAUCUCCAGGUUCUUAAACUCAGUGUCUUCCAGUUUCCCACAGAGCUCCUGAUUAAUAUCUUCUUUUUCUUCGAGCAGGUGGGACAUUUGUCUUAAUUCAGCACAGUUGUGUUUGUUUUCUGUCAUCAAGUUUAAAAUCUUCUCCUGUGCUCGAUUAAAUAGUAUUUUCCAGCCCUCAUUUAUAUUAUCCACAUUGGGCUGCCUUCGAUUAUUUUCUUUUUCUCGUUGGUUCUUGACAAAUUCAUUAUGCCUUUCUUCCAACUGGUUAUUUAGGGCCUCCAUGUGUCUGCACUUCUCUACAAGCUGAAUUUUCUCUGCC
ensembl:lncRNA